UGGGGAAUAUUGGACAAUGGGCGCAAGCCUGAUCCAGCCAUGCCGCGUGGGUGAAGAAGGCCCUAGGGUUGUAAACCCCUUUCAGCGGGGAAGAUAAUGACGGUACCCGCAGAAGAAGCCCCGGCUAACUCCGUGCCAGCAGCCGCGGUAAUACGGAGGGGGCUAGCGUUGUUCGGAAUUACUGGGCGUAAAGCGCGCGUAGGCGGACCUGCAAGUCGGGGGUGAAAGCCCGAGGCUCAACCUCGGAACUGCCUUCGAUACUGCGGGUCUCGAGUCCGGGAGAGGUGAGUGGAAUUCCUAGUGUAGAGGUGAAAUUCGUAGAUAUUAGGAAGAACACCAGUGGCGAAGGCGGCUCACUGGCCCGGUACUGACGCUGAGGCGCGAAAGCGUGGGGAGCAAACAGGAUUAGAUACCCUGGUAGUCCACGCCGUAAACUAUGGGUGCUAGCCGUCGGUCGGCAUGCCGGUCGGUGGCGCAGCCAACGCAUUAAGC
rnacentral:rRNA from 1 species